rnacentral:rRNA from 1 species
AUUGAACGCUGGCGGCAUGCUUUACACAUGCGAGUCGAACGGUAACAGCACUUCGGUGGCUGACGAGUGGCGAACGGGUGAGUAAUACAUCGGAACGUGCCUAGUAGUGGGGGAUAACUACUCGAAAGAGUAGCUAAUACCGCAUGAGAUCUAAGGAUGACAGCAGGGGACCUUCGGGCCUUGCGCUACUAGAGCGGCUGAUGGCAGAUUAGGUAGUUGGUGGGAUAAAAGCUUACCAAGCCGACGAUCUGUAGCUGGUCUGAGAGGACGACCAGCCACACUGGGACUGAGACACGGCCCAGACUCCUACGGGAGGCAGCAGUGGGGAAUUUUGGACAAUGGGCGCAAGCCUGAUCCAGCAAUGCCGCGUGCAGGAUGAAGGCCUUCGGGUUGUAAACUGCUUUUGUACGGAACGAAAAGCCCUCUUCUAAUACAGGAGGGUCAUGACGGUACCGUAAGAAUAAGCACCGGCUAACUACGUG